ensembl:lncRNA
CGAAGUAAACAAGAAAUGAUUUUGAAUGUUUUGAUGAAUCAUAAGUGUAGUCUGUACUUGAGGAUUUUCUCUUUCUGAUUUGUAUGCUGUCUGUUGCCUUUUUUUCCAAGGCUGGGUUACGUGGGCAUGUAAACAAAGUCGAGAAUCUGUUUAAUAUCAAAUGUGCUCUGCUUUCCCGUUUUACUGCCUCAGUGCUGCAGGUAAAUAAACAGCAGUAGCUUAAUUUUUUUUAGUUUGAUUACUGUUGCAGCCAGCGAGGCAUGAACGUGCAAAACUGUGAAGAUCCUUUCAGAUGGACAAUGGUAUAACAGCAUGGCAUUAUUGAAUAGAAGUGUGUGAGAGCAUGUGUGUUUCAGUUUCCUGCUCGCAUCCAUCUGUAUUUUCUCAUUUAUUUGCCAGAUCAUAAUCCAGAUCCUUCAUCAUUAUUCCUUACGAUAAUGAAGACAUCUGUCUGCUUUGUGUGGAGCAGAGUGGCGACAAACAUGCUCGCGUUUCACAUGCCGCCUUCUGCCGCCGCUCCACUGCCAGACAGCAAUAUGGGGUAGCAUUUGGGCACUGAGCCCUGAAGACUUGAAUCCGCCUGGCUCUCUAAUGCCAGCAGUGCCCUCCAGUGCCUCCUUGUGCACAGCCUGCAGGAAAGGUGAACCGCCUGAGUGGGCAAGAUCACCUCAUAAGUGGGCUGUCGCAGCACCACAUGUGGCAUUAACCAUGAUACGCCUGAGCUGAGACGUCCGCUGUGCCCCCCUCCGGCUCCGAGGAUGGAGUGAGAAGAGUAUGCCAGGAUGCUGCAUAGGACAGAUGACAGAGUGUGAGACGGAUCCUGCCCACUGCAGAGAGACAGACAGAGACUUGUGUGUGUGUGGACGUUUUGAGGAGUGGCGUCUCAUUUCACAAGAUGCGAAACUGCGUUAAUAAAUAAUGUAAAAUAGACA